GAUGAACGCUGGCGGCGUGCCUAAUACAUGCAAGUCGAGCGAACAGACGAGGAGCUUGCUCCUCUGACGUUAGCGGCGGACGGGUGAGUAACACGUGGAUAACCUACCUAUAAGACUGGGAUAACUUCGGGAAACCGGAGCUAAUACCGGAUAAUAUAUUGAACCGCAUGGUUCAAUAGUGAAAGACGGUUUUGCUGUCACUUAUAGAUGGAUCCGCGCCGCAUUAGCUAGUUGGUAAGGUAACGGCUUACCAAGGCAACGAUGCGUAGCCGACCUGAGAGGGUGAUCAGCCACACUGGAACUGAGACACGGUCCAGACUCCUACGGGAGGCAGCAGUAGGGAAUCUUCCGCAAUUGGCGAAAGCCUGACGGAGCAACGCCGCGUGAGUGAUGAAGGUCUUCGGAUCGUAAAACUCUGUUAUUAGGGAAGAACAAAUGUGUAAGUAACUAUGCACGUCUUGACGGUACCUAAUCAGAAAGCCACGGCUAACUACGUG
rnacentral:rRNA from 1 species